AGUGCGGCGUCGAGGCUGUAAAUCGGCGGACCUUGUUUGGUUCCUCCCACAAUGGGCGGGUUCCUUUGAACCACUGACCAAUAGUGAGCGAGACGGCAUGCACUAGCCCAAUGGAACUGCAGUGGGUGGGGCCUGGGGCAAGGGUUUGAGCCCUGGAGUUGGCGUUUCGGCCCACGUGGGAAGCUACGGGGUAGAUCCGGCUUGGAUGCCAAGUGCUGGAGAGAGACCUGCUGUGAAGAUGGGACCGGCCCCCGCCGGAGAGCAGCACCGACGAGCAACUGAGGACCCAGAGGUGAUGGAACUUGCCUUCGAAGGCAUGGACAAAGAGAAGGCACCCUCAAGAAAGCGUGCAAGAACAGAGCCACCUGCAGAAGGCCUCCUGCAGCCAGUGAACCUCAGUCGGGAGGAGCUGUACAAGGAGCCUACAAAUGAGGAGCUAAAUCGCCUCCGUGAGACCGAGAUCUUGUUCCACUCCACCUUGCUUCGUUUACAAGUGGAGGAGUUACUAAAGGAAGUCAGACUGUCAGAGAAGAAGAAAGAGAGGAUUGAUAAUUUCCUGAAGGAGGUUACCAAGCGGAUCCAGAAAGUGCCUCCAGUCCCUGAGGCUGAGCUCACUGACCAGUCAUGGCUCCCAGCUGGGGUCCGAGUGCCCCUCCACCAAGUGCCCUAUGCCGUGAAGGGCUCCUUCCGCUUCCGGCCUCCAUCCCAGAUCACUGUUGUGGGUAGCUACCUUCUGGAUACUUGUAUGCGACCAGAUAUCAAUGUGGACGUGGCAGUGACCAUGCCCAGGGAAAUCUUACAGGACAAAGACGGGCUGAACCAGCGUUACUUCCGCAAGCGAGCCCUUUACCUGGCCCACUUAGCUUACCACCUGGCCCAGGAUCCCCUCUUCAGCAGCGUACGCUUCUCUUACAUGAGUGGAUGCCACCUGAAGCCCUCGCUGCUGCUGCGGCCACAUGGGAAGGAUGAGCGCCUAGUUACUGUGCGCCUGCUUCCCUGCCCUCCCUUGGACUUCUUCCGUCCCUGCCGCUUGCUGCCAACUAAGAACAAUGUGCGCUCUGCCUGGUACCGAGGGCAGAGCUGUCCGGAUUACGAGCCGCCUACCCCCCACUAUAACACCUGGAUCCUGCAGGAUGUAGCUCUGGAGACCCACAUGCACUUGCUGGCAAGUGUGCUGGGCUCUGCCCAGGGCCUGAAGGAUGGCGUGGCACUUCUGAAGGUUUGGCUGAGGCAGCGGGAACUGGACAAGGGCCUGGGUGGAUUUAACGGAUUCAUCAUCUCCAUGCUGGUUGCCUUCCUGGUAUCUAAACGAAAGAUCCAUACCACCAUGAGCGGCUACCAGGUCCUGAGAAGUGUCCUGCAGUUUCUGGCCACUACCGAUCUGACAAUCAAUGGAAUCAGUUUCUCUCUCAGCUCAGAUCCCUCCUUGCCCACCCUGGCUGAAUUCCACCAGCUUUUCGCGGUUGUGUUUGUGGACCCAUCAGGCCGCCUCAACCUCUGUGCCGAUGUUACAGCUUCCACUUACAACCAGGUGCAGUACGAGGCAGAACUGUCUAUGGCGUUGCUGGACAGCAAAGCUGACGAUGGAUUUCAGCUGCUGUUGAUGACUCCCAAACCCAUGAUCCAGGCUUUUGACCACGUUGUCCAUCUCCAUCCACUGAGUCGCCUGCAGGCAUCCUGUCACCAGCUAAAGCUUUGGCCAGAGCUGCAGGAUAACGGAGGGGACUACGUUUCAGCCGCUCUGGGCCCACUAACCAACAUUUUGGUGCAGGGUCUGGGGUGCCGGCUGCAUCUGCUGGCUCACUCUCGGCCCCCAGUCCCAGAGUGGAGUAUCAACCAAGAUCCCCCGAAGCACAAGGACGCUGGGACCCUGACCCUGGGAUUUCUCUUCCGGCCCGAGGGACUGACCAGUGUUAUUGAUCUUGGCCCAGAGGCUGACAAGCCUGAGGCUGCUGAUUUCCGUCAGUUCUGGGGGACCCGCUCAGAGCUCAGGCGUUUCCAGGACGGAGCCAUCCGGGAAGCUGUGGUCUGGGAGGCAGAAUCUUUGUUUGAGAAGCGUCUUAUUCCUCAUCAGGUGGUCACCCACCUCUUAGCACUCCAUGCUGACAUCCCAGACACCUGUAUCCAGUAUGUGGGUGGCUUCCUUGAUGCAUUGAUCCAAAACCCCAAAGAGAUCUCCAGCACGGGUGAGGAGGCCUUGGCGUUGGCUGUGCGUUGCUAUGAUGACCUCAGCCGCCUGCUCUGGGGGCUGGAGGGUCUCCCACUUACUGUGUCUGCCGUUCAGGGGGCUCACCCAGUGCUGCGCUACACAGAGGUUUUCCCUCCAGCUCCAGUCCGUCCUGCCUACUCCUUCUAUAACCGCCUCCAAGAGCUGGCCUCACUGUUGCCCCGGCCGGAUAAGCCCUGCCCAGCCUAUGUGGAGCCUAUGACUGUGGUUUGUCACCUGGAGGGCAGCGGGCAGUGGCCUCAGGAUGCAGAAGCGGUGCAGCGGGUCCGAGCCGCCUUCCAGCUGCGCCUGGCGGAGGUGCUGACCCAGGAGCAUAGACUACAGUGCUGCGCCACUGCCACACACACGGAUGUCCUCAAGGAUGGGUUCGUGUUUAGGAUUCGAGUGGCCUAUCAGCGGGAGCCACAGAUCCUGAAAGAGGUGCGGAGCCCCGAGGGCAUGGUCUCCCUGAGAGACACACCUGCCUCCCUCCGCCUUGAGAGAGACACCAAGCUGUUGCCUCUGCUCACCAGUGCCCUGCAUGGGUCUCACUGCCAAGGCUUCCUCCCCCAGACUCCAGCAGCAGUACCCAGCCUACUCGGGGGUGGCUCGCCUGGCCAAGCGGUGGGUGCGUGCCCAGCUUCUGGGUGAGGGCUUCACUGACGAGAGCCUGGAUCUGCUGGCCGCUUCACUCUUCCUGCACCCUGAGCCCUUCACCCCUCCCAGCGUCCCACAGGUUGGCUUUCUUCGGUUCCUUUACUUGGUAUCUACCUUUGAUUGGAAGAACAACCCUCUCAUUGUCAACCUCAACGGUGAGCUGACUGCUGAGGAACAGGUGGGGAUUCGAAGUAGUUUCCUGGCAGCUCGAACACAACUCCCAGUCAUGGUCAUCAUUACCCCCCAGGACCGCAGAAGCUCUGUGUGGACACAGGAUGGACCCUCAGCCCAGAUCCUUCAGCAGCUCGUGAGCCUGGCGGCUGAAGCCCUCCCUAUCCUAGAGAAGCAGCUGAUGGAUCCCCGGGGGCCUGGGGACAUCAGGACCGUGUUCCGGCCACCCUUCGACAUGUAUGAUGUGCUGAUCCACCUGACUCCCCGCCACAUUCCCCGGCACCGCCAAGCUGUAGACCCUCCAGUUGCUUCCUUCUGCCGUGGUCUGCUCGCUGAGCCAGGGCCUUCGUCUCUGAUGCCUGUCCUGGGCUAUGACCCCCCUCAGCUCUAUCUGGCACAGCUCCGGGAGGCCUUUGAAGAUCUGGCUCUCUUCUUCUAUGACCAGCAUGGUGGAGAGGUGAUUGGUGUCCUCUGGAAGCCCAGCAGCUUCCAGCCCCAGCCCUUUAAGGCCUCCAGCAUAAAGGGACGCAUGGUGGUGUCUCAAGGUGGGGAGCUUGUGAUGUUGCCCAACAUAGAAGCAAUCUUGGAGGACUUUGCUGUGCUGGGUGAAGGCCUGGUACAGGCUGUAGAGGCCCGAAGUGAGAGGUGGACUGUGUGAUUCUCGCCUUGGGACAAGUGUUGGAUCUGUGCAGCAGCAGGUCAGCGGCAUAGCCACUCUCAGUGCAGAUGGACGCCUGAUGAACCACUGAAUCCCCCAUCCCCAGAGAAAGCCCCGUGAGAUUCUUCUGAUGUUUCAGCUCUGGGGCAGGGGCCAUGGUGUCCUGUGUCCCCUACACCUGACCACCCCAAUUCCCAGAGGAGGAGACAGAGCCAGCUCAGAGAGAACUGAAUCCACGAGAUCCAUUUGCCUAUCCAUCUUGAGUCAGCCUGAACUCUUGUUCAUUUUUGUUUUCUCUCCAUCUUCAUCUUCCCGCUGGCAGGACGGAUGUGUCCAGAUGUCAGCGUGCCUUUCCCUGUUGCUGCUUCUGGCCUUUAGAUUGUGGCCCUUCCUGGGGGUCAGGGCACCAGCACUGAGCAGUGGGAGGGAGCUGUGUGUGUAUGAAUGGAACCCAUUCAGUAGGCACAGUGCCCUGAGGGUAGGAACAGUGGGAAAAGAUACAGACCAGGCAGGGCUGGCUGGAGUUGAGGGGAUCCCGGUCCAAGAGAGAGAGAGCGCUGGGCGCUGCAGCCUGGCCUCUCUGGGUCCUGCCCCCUCCUUGCUGCUGCCUAUCAUUACCCAUUACUGUGCCAUACGCCUGCUCUUGGAACUCUGAGGUAGGCAGGAUGCUUCCUCUCAGCCUGAUCCACAUCCCCUUCUGGCAGCCACUCCCUGCUUUUCUCCCCUAAUCCUGACUGUUUUUUUUUUUAGACUCAGCUCAAAUAGCACCCCACCUAGUCCCUGCCCUCACCCCCACCCCUCUCUCCCUUCUGUGAACUGUGAAUGCGAUUAUUCCUUGUCGAGUUCACUUGGCAGGCAUGCAUACCAGUAUGCACCUUCUAUUGUCCUGAACUCUGAUUUAAAAUUAAAUUGCUUAAGUCUUUCUGGGUA